rnacentral:tRNA from 1 species
GGGUAUUCUAGGGAAAGCAAAUAGCGCCGAAGGGGUCUUAAAAUCCGCAGACCUUAACCGGUCGUGGGGGUUCAAGUCCCCCUCCGGGCACCA